GAUGAAGAACGUAGCGAAAUGCGAUAAGUAAUGCGAAUUGCAGAAUUUCCGUGAGUCAUCGAGUCUUUGAACGCACAUUGCGCCCCCUGGUAUUCCGGGGGGCAUGCCUGUCCGAGCGUCAUUGCUGCCCUCAAGCACGGCUUGUGUGUUGGGCCUCCGUCCUCCUCCCGGGGGACGGGCCCGAAAGGCAGCGGCGGCACCGCGUCCGGUCCUCGAGCGUAUGGGGCUUCGUCACCCGCUCUUGUAGGCCCGGCCGGCGCUUGCCGACACAUCAAUCUUUUUUCCAGGUUGACCUCAGAUCAGGUAGGGAUACCCGCUGAACUUAAGCAUAUCAAUAAGCGGAGGA
rnacentral:misc_RNA from 1 species